AUUCCAGCAGGGCCCCAGUCAGGGAGCAAGUGCAGCCUCCCCAGACCCGCUAGGACCAUGGCUCUCCUCCAGAGUCAAGACACGGACCUUCAAGACUUACUGCUUUUUGCUUGGAGACUUUAACCUUGAAAGUCAGGCAGCAGGAGUUUGAUGGGUACAGGCUGCCUCCUCUGGGGUCUCUCAUCACCUGAUCUUGACCUGUGAGAAUGGUACGCUGCAAGGAGGUAUGUGUGGAAGAUUCCAAGAAGACGACCAACUGAGUGGAAUGAGAUGCUUGUUUUCAUGGAUCAGAAAUGAAUCACGUUGCCUUCUUUCAGUCAUGACACAGAGUUCUGGAGUCUUGGGAAAGAAACAACAGGAGGAAGGGUGCAGCUCAGGGGUAGAGCUCAUACUUAGAAUGCACGAGGUCCUGGGUUCAAGCCCCAGUACCUCCAUUAAAAAAAUAAACAAACCUAAUUACCUCCCCCCCAAAAAAAAUUUUAAAAGAAAACAAUUCUAAAAUAAUUUUAAAAAUUAAAAAAAAAAAGAAACAACAGGAAGAAAAUGUUUUCUGGUAGAGAUCUGUGGGAGGAAUAAAGGCUCCUGAAUGGAGAACUGAGAUCAGGAGAGAGAGAUGGACUGUGGCUGGACUAUUGAAGGACAAUGAAGUGUCGUGCUGGUUUACACCCAGGUGCUAUUCAUACCUGGUGCUGUUUCCAAACGUCCUCCAGGCAUCCAUCCUGCUCCAGGUCUUCAGAAAAACAGGUGAACAGCGGGGUGCAUGGAAGGGAGGCUGAAGGCAAAUAAGGGGGUAUUACGCCCAGCUCUGAAAAUAAAACGUUAUUGGCUCCAGUCUGAAACGGUCACUUUCCACCGAGAUGGAAUAUAUUACUCAGAAGAGAGAAACACCAGAUAUUAUGCAGUCUGCCUUUGGGGAAAGAAAAAAAAAAACCGCCCACCUCUUAUAAAAACACUUUUUGGGGGAUGAAGGAUUUGAUUUCAACGGAUGAGUCAUCACUGUGUUUUUUUUCUUACCACUUAGCCAAAAAAGUGAAGUUUUUAAAAAAGCAUUUCUUGAAGCAAAAU